CAAUAGCGUAUAUUCAAGUUGUUGCAGUUAAAAAGCUCGUAGUUGAAUUUUGGCGCUGUGUGUGUGGUUUGGGCUCGCGCUCAACACUGCAGAUGCGGUGCUUUCCUUCUAGGGAGCCAGUGUGCCAUUCGUUUGGUGGGCUGGGGAACUAGGACAGUUACUUUGAGAAAAUUAGAGUGUUUAAAACAGGCGUUUGCUUGAAUAUAUUAGCAUGGAAUAACGGAAUAGGACUUUGUCUUAUUUUGUUGGUUUAGGAGACAAAGUAAUGAUUAAUAGGGACGGUUGGGGGCAUUAGUAUUCCACAGUCAGAGGUGAAAUUCUUGGAUUUGUGGAAGACUAACUUCUGCGAAAGCAUUUGCCAGGCACGCUUUCAUUAA
rnacentral:rRNA from 1 species